AAAUUUUGACCCCGGUACCCAAAAUGUGUGGAACUCAUGAUCAGAAAAUUCUAAUUCUCAAUCAUAGAGUCCCAGACACAUAAGACUCAUAAUCAGCCAUCUGAUCAGAAAGGAACCACUAAUGUGUGUGACCCCGCAGGUUCGAACCUAAGCCGGUAGCAUAGGAACCAAUUCCUGUACUAAUCGAAGUGACCAUCUAGCAAUGGUACCCGACGACCAGAUAGGUCGAAUAAUCACAAUCGCAACAUUCAGAACCUACGUGAAUAUGAUUACCGUAUAAUUCAUCCCUUUUGACCCCUAUGUUUAGGACGACUCAGGGUUAAACUGUCAACUCUGAUGAUAUCAUCCGAAUCGUGCUCAACUCAAUUAGUCCUGUGACUCCUCACUAGGACUACCCUGGCCAAGGUUUUGCUAAAUUGAAACACGACUGUACACAGCUCCUAAACUGGAGUGGUCAAUCCCAUCUUGACACACGCACCGACAAGUCAAGUACUUGACUACACCCAGCAGCCUUCCGUCAUUGAAUUAGAAAUUCAGGUAGUCCAGUGCCUAAGUGCAGUGAGUUGCUUGCAAGUCACCAUGGCGAUCUCAGGUCGGAGGGAUAUUUAUACCCAUAUCCCAUCGGAGCAAAUCUUGACAG
rnacentral:lncRNA from 1 species